rnacentral:rRNA from 1 species
CACGUAGGGUGCAAGCGUUGUCCGGAAUUAUUGGGCGUAAAGAGCUCGUAGGCGGUUCCGUAAGUCGAGUGUGAAAAAUCUGGGCUCAACCCAGUGGAGCACUCGAUACUGCGGUGACUAGAGUACGGUAGAGGAGUGUGGAAUUCCUGGUGUAGCGGUGAAAUGCGCAGAUAUCAGGAGGAACACCAACGGCGAAGGCAGCACUCUGGGCCGGUACUGACGCUGAGGAGCGAAAGCGUGGGGAGCAAACAGG